GAAAAAGUGCAAGAACUGCUAACUCAUGCAUCCGCGCCUAAGUAGUGCGGCUUUUUCAA
rnacentral:tRNA from 1 species